UUGUUGACUGGUGCGUGAGAAAGAGAAAAAUGGUGAGAUGAUCGAGGGAGAUGGAGAGGGGCGGGGGGUGCAUCGGCGGGUGUGGCUUCGCCGGCGGCGGUUGCUGCGGCUGUGAAGAUGGCCGGUUAAGGUUGGAGAAACCAUGGCUACUGUGAAGAGAUAAAGAGAGAGAAUUGGUAGGUUGGAGAAAUAGGUUUGUAUGUGGCCUUAAUUAAUUCACUAAUUUUAUGUUAAUUUUAGCCCAAAAUAGAAAUGUGUCUUGUUUAAUGGGACAACCCAAAAAGGAAAGUGUGUCUUAAAUAAUGGGACGG
rnacentral:lncRNA from 1 species